rnacentral:rRNA from 1 species
GAUCCUGACUCAGGAUGAACGCUAGCUACGGGCUUAACACAUGCAAGUCGAGGGGCAGCAUGAACUUAGCUUGCUAAGUUUGAUGGCGACCGGCGCACGGGUGAGUAACACGUAUCCAACCUUCCGUUUACUCAGGGAUAGCCUUUCGAAAGAAAGAUUAAUACCUGAUAGUAUGGUGAGAUUGCAUGAUAGCACCAUUAAAGAUUUAUUGGUAAACGAUGGGGAUGCGUUCCAUUAGG